UCAAGCGAACAAGGGCGCAGGGCGAAUGCCUUGGCACUGGGAGCCGAUGAAAGACGUGAUAAGCUGCGAUAAGCUUCGGGGAGCUGCAAAUAAGCAUUGAUCCGGAGAUUUCUGAAUGAGGAAACUCACCUGGGUUCAUACUCAGGUACGUUGUACUGAAAUUCAAAAUAGGUACAUCGAGGGAACCGCCUGAACUGAAACAUCUAAGUAGGGCGAGGAAGAGACAUCAAACGAGAUUCCGUAAGUAGUGGCGAGCGAACGCGGAAGAGGGCAAACCGAAGGUAGAAAUACCUUCGGGGUACGGAGCGCAUUUAAGACUCAAGUUGUUAACCGAACGGCAUGGGAAGGCCGGUCAGAGAGUGUGAGAACCACGUAGGUGAAAACGGAAAGAGCUGCGCAGAUUCCAGAGUACGGCCAGACACGUGAAACCUGGUCGGAAGAUGGGGGGACCACCCUCCAACCCUAAAUACUACCCAGUGACCGAUAGCGUAUAGUACUGUGAAGGAAAGGUGAAAAGCACCCCGGGAGGGGAGUGAAAAAGAACCUGAAACCCUGUGCCUACAAGCACCUAGAGCACGUCAAUGUGUGAUAGGGUACUUUUUGUAGAACGGUCCGGCGAGCGAUUGUAUGCAGCAAGGUUAAGGACUUAAGGUCUGGAGCCGAAGCGAAAGCGAGUUUGAAAAGGGCGUUAAGUUGCAUAUAAUGGGCCCGAAACCGGGUGACCUACCCAUGGUCAGGUUGAAGUGGAAGUAAAAUUCCAUGGAGGACCGAACCGACCUCCGUUGAAAAGGCGGCGGAUGAACUGUGGGUAGCGGAGAAAUUCCAAUCGAACCCGGAGAUAGCUGGUUCUCCCCGAAAUAGUUUUAGGACUAGCCUCAAGUUAGAUACCUGGAGGUAAAGCACUGAAUAGCCUAGCGGCCGAGAGGUUAGCGAAGCUUAUCAAACUCAGAAUGCCAGAGUAUUGAUGCUUGGGAGUCAGACAGUGUCAGAUAAAUGUCAUUGUCAAAAGGGAAACAGCCCAGAUCUACAGCUAAGGUCCCAAAGUCAGGUUAAGUGGAAAACGAUGUGAAGAUACGCAGACAACCAGGAUGUUGGCUCAGAAGCAGCCACUCAUUCAAAGAGUGCGUAAUAGCUCACUGGUCGAGCGUCUUUGCGCGGAGAAUUUAACGGGGCUAAACCUGACACCGAAGCUUAGGCAAUCCAGCAAUGGAUUGGGUAGGGGAGCGUUGUAUACGCGGAGAAACAGUAGCGUAAGCGGCUGUGGAGUGUAUAGAAGUGAGAAUGCCGGAAUGAGUAGCGCGAAUGCAGUGAGAAUCUGCAUGGCCGAAAGCCUCAGGUUUUUGGAGGAAGGUUCGUCCGCUCCAAGUUAGUCGGGAGCUAAGGUGAGGCCGGAAGGCGUAGCCGAUGCACAGACGGUAGAGAUUCCGUCACCACCAAAAGAGUUAAGCACAGGGACACAUUUGAAGUCUCAGAGCCGGGUGUUGGUUCCGGUAGAGAUCGAGGGAAGUUAGUACCGAAGUCUGGGAUGGAAGAUGGCGAGAAAAGCUGUGUGUAUUUCUGAGGUGCCCGUACCGCAAACCGACACAGGUAGGUAGGAAGAAGAUUCUAAGGCCAACGGGAGAAGGGUUGUUAAGGAACUCGGCAAAUUGACCCCGUAACUUCGGGAGAAGGGGUGCUCCAGAGAUGGAGCCGCAGAGAAUCGGCCCAAGCAACUGUUUACCAAAAACACAGGUUUGUGCUAAAUCGAAAGAUGACGUAUACGAGCUGACGCCUGCCCGGUGCUGGAAGGUUAAGAGGAGAUGUGCAAGCAUUGAAUCGAAGCCCCAGUGAACGGCGGCCGUAACUAUAACGGUCCUAAGGUAGCGAAAUUCCUUGUCAGGUAAG
rnacentral:rRNA from 1 species